UGCCAGCCGCCGCGGUAACACGGGGGGUGCGAGCGUUAAUCGGAAUCACUGGGCGUAAAGCGCACGUAGGCGGACUUUUAAGUCAGAUGUGAAAUCCCGAGGCUCAACCUCGGAACUGCAUUUGAAACUGGGAGUCUAGAGAUCAGGAGAGGUUAGUGGAAUACCGAGUGUAGAGGUGAAAUUCGUAGAUAUUCGGUGGAACACCAGUGGCGAAGGCGACUAACUGGACUGAUACUGACGCUGAGGUGCGAAAGUGUGGGGAGCAAACAGGAUUAGAUA
rnacentral:rRNA from 1 species